AAAAGAUAAAGCUUUGGUGGAUACGGAUUGGCUCGCGUGACAUUAGCUGGAUGGUAGGGUAACGGCCUACCAUGGCUACGAUGUCUAGGGGUCCUGAGAGGAAGAUCCCCCACACUGGUACUGAGACACGGACCAGACUCCUACGGGAGGCAGCAGUGAGGAAUAUUGGUCAAUGGGCGCAAGCCUGAACCAGCCAUGCCGCGUGCAGGAAGAAGGUCCUAUGGAUUGUAAACUUCUUUUGUAUGGGAGCAAUAAGGUCUACGAGUAGGCCGAUGAGAGUACCGUAGGAAUAAGCACCGGCUAACUCCGUGCCAGCAGCCGCGGUAAUACGGAGGGUGCAAGCGUUAUCCGGAUUUAUUGGGUUUAAAGGGUGCGUAGGCGGUCUAUUAAGUCAGCGGUGAAAGUUUUCAGCUUAACUGGAAAAAUGCCGUUGAUACUGAUAGGCUAGAAUAUGGUUGCUGUGGGUGGAAUGUGUGGUGUAGCGGUGAAAUGCUUAGAUAUCACACAGAAUAUCAAUUGCGAAGGCAGCUCACAAAGCCAUUAUUGACGCUGAGGCACGAAAGUGUGGGGAUCAAACAGGAUUAGAUACCCUGGUAGUCCACACCGUAAACGAUGAUAACUCGCUGUCGGCGAUAAACAGUCGGUAGCCAAGCGAAAGCGAUAAGUUAUCCACCUGGGGAGUACGACCGCAAGGUUGAAACUCAAAGGAAUUGACGGGGGCCCGCACAAGCGGUGGAGCAUGUGGUUUAAUUCGACGCAACGCGAAGAACCUUACCAGGGCUUGACAUCCCGUGACAGCCAUGAUUAGCAGCGCAGGUCUUUCGGGACAGAGGAGACAGGUGGUGCAUGGUUGUCGUCAGCUCGUGUCGUGAGAUGUUGGGUUAAGUCCCGCAACGAGCGCAACCCUUGCCUUUAGUUGCCAGCACAUAAAGGUUAAACAGACUGCCGUGGAUAACACGGAGGAAGGUGGGGAUGACGUCAAAUCAUCAUGCCCCUUAUGAUCUGGGCUACACACGUGCUACAAUGGCCGGUACAACGAGAAGCGAAACCGCGAGGUGAAGCAAAUCUUUUAAAGCCGGUCCCAGUUCGGAUUGCAGGCUGAAACUCGCCUGCAUGAAGUUGGAGUUGCUAGUAAUCGCGGAUCAGCAUGCCGUGGUGAAUGCGUUCCCGGGCC
rnacentral:rRNA from 1 species